GGGUGCGAGUAGAGUGGCGGACGGGUAAGUAACGCGUGGGAAUCUGCCUAGUAGUGGGGGAUAACAAUCGGAAACGGUUGCUAAUACCGCAUACGCCCUACGGGGGAAAGGCUUCGGCCGCUAUUAGAUGAGCCCGCGUAAGAUUAGCUUGUUGGUAGGGUAAUGGCCUACCAAGGCAACGAUCUUUAGCUGGUCUGAGAGGACGAUCAGCCACACUGGGACUGAGACACGGCCCAGACUCC
rnacentral:rRNA from 1 species